rnacentral:sRNA from 2 species
UGUGCCAACGGACAGGUACAGGCCAUCAAGGAUAAUGAAGGCUAUGGACAUCGCAGGAUGCGAUUCAUCAGGAUGAUGACAAGGGAAUACAGGGGUUAGGGAGAAAAUGUGGGCGGGUCAAACCGCCCCUUUUUUU